rnacentral:snRNA from 1 species
GCUCGCCUCAGCAGCAUAUACUAAAAUUGGAACAAUACAGAGAGGAUGAGCAUGGCCCCUACACAAGGAUAACAUGCGAAUUCGAAAGUAUUCCAUAUUUUG